UACAGAGGUCUCAAGCGUUGUUCGGAUUCAUUGGGCGUAAAGGGUGCGUAGGCGGCGCGGUAAGUCGGGUGUGAAAUCUUGGAGCUUAACUCCGAAACUGCAUUCGAUACUGGCGAUCUUGAGUCCGGGAGAGGUGAGUGGAACUGCGAGUGUAGAGGUGAAAUUCGUAGAUAUUCGCAAGAACACCAGUGGCGAAGGCGGCUCACUGGCCCGGUACUGACGCUGAGGUGCGAAAGCGUGGGGAGCAAACAGG
rnacentral:rRNA from 1 species